CUGAAAACACCCUCACUUUUCUCUCCCUACCCUGCCCUGCCUCACACUAACACUGAACAGAAACUCCAUCCUCCAUCUGCUUCUAUCCCUCUUCAAACCCAAAAAUCCAGAAACCCCAACACCUUCCUCGUGUUGAUCUCAAUCUGAAAAACCCAAAUCCCGUCAAAAACGGACCUCUUAUUUUCCCAUAUAUCCCGGAAUCCCAAGAAUACGGUGAAACCUAACCCUAACCUCUUCUUGUCACAACUGGACGACGCAGAUCCAAGGGCGUGGGAUACCCAUCAUCAUCGGCUUCUUUACAUGUGCUUCAGUGGCACUGCACUUUCCAAGCUCCUUCCUUUCCAUCUCCCCUCGUCCUCUCUCUCUCUCUCUCUCUGAAUUGUGAUGGAGCAGCAGCACCGCCAGCAUUCUCAGUUUAAACCUUCUCGUCGAAGGACAACUGACUCUGCCUUUUUUGUUUUUUAUUUUUCUUUGCCCGUCCACAGGGACUUGCCUAACCACAGAGGACUGCCUCUUGAAUAAAAAUAGGAACCCACAUUUGACUAAGGAGCAAAUAGAGGCUGAGCUUAAGUCCUAUCUUGGAGUCAAGAAAGUUAUUUGGUUGCCUCGCUGAUUAUUUGAACCAAUACAGCUGGUGGGCACACCGUGAGGGAUUUAUAUGCUGGUGUAGUUAGCUUACAGAGGAGCACGUAAGUGAAGAAAUUUUUUUAAAUCGUCCUACUGCUGGCACACUCUUCAUGGAGGGACAGAUGCAAGCAAGGGAUCAAGAUAACAGUGGGGAAAUGCAUGACUUCAAUUUAACUACUAUAUUGACUGCUAUGAACCGCUUCUCUGAUGCCAAUAAGCUUGGAGAGGGAGGUUCUGGGCCUGUUUACAAGGUUAAGCUGCAUAAUGGGAAGAGAUAGCGGUUAAAAGGCUUUCGAGGAAAUCAGGGCAAGGUCUUGAAGGGUUCAAGAAUGAAGUUAUGUUAAUUGUUAAACUUCAACACAAGAAUCUUGUGAGGCUGCUGGGUUGCUGCAUAGGGAGAGAGGAAAAGCUCCUUGUCUAUGAGUACAUGGCCAACACUAGUCUUGAUGCCUUUCUAUUUGGCAACUAGACUGGGCCAAGCUUGCUGCCAUUGUUGGGGGAAUAACAAGAGAGAUUCUGUAUCUGCAUGACGACUCUCGGCUCAAAAUCAUCCAUAGGGAUUUGAAAGCAAGCAACAUUUUGUUGGAUGAAGAGAUGAACCCAAGGAUCUGAGACUUUGGAACUGCUAGGAUUUUUGGUAGUAAUCAGCUUGAUGCUAACACAAACAAAGUUGGUGGUACAUUGUAAGUCAUCUCCUUCUCUUGCCAUGCUUUGUUUAACUGUUAAGCCCAAAAGAAAAAAGGAAAAACUGCACAUACAUAUUCUGUUUCUAUUAAAAAAAUAUUCCUUAUCAUCUAACUUGUCUAGCAUGAGACGCGCGCAAUCUUAAGUCCAAGAAAGUACUACUAUUCCUAUCAAUCAAACAUCUCUUUCUACUAGUUUUAUGUGAAAAUAGUCAUUUUAUAGAAAAA